rnacentral:tRNA from 1 species
GGGUGGUUGGUGUAGUGGUAACACAACGGUCUUCGGAACCGUUAUCGGGGGUUCAAUCCCCUCACCACCUG